UACGUAGGGGGCAAGCGUUGUCCGGAAUCAUUGGGCGUAAAGCGCGUGUAGGCGGCCUCGUAAGUCCGCUCUGAAAGCCUGGGGCUCAACCCCAGGAGGCGGGUGGAUACUGCGAGGCUCGAGUACGGAAGAGGCGAGUGGAAUUCCCGGUGUAGCGGUGAAAUGCGCAGAUAUCGGGAGGAACACCAAUGGCGAAGGCAGCUCGCUGGGACGUUACUGACGCUGAGACGCGAAAGCGUGGGGAGCAAACAGGG
rnacentral:rRNA from 1 species